UGUAUCUGAAGUCUGACGAGGAUGAGAACCUCCGGGGGCAAGAGGUUCGACUCGAGCGAAGCGAGAGAACGUUGCGUCAGCAACGGCCCGCAGGGCGAGCCACGCAGCGGCGAGUCAUCCUCUAUCACCGACCA
rnacentral:sRNA from 1 species